UGAACUGGUACCGGCCCGGGCCGGGCUGAGCUGGGCUGAGCUGAACUGGUACCGGCCCGGGCCGGGCUGGGCUGAGCUGAGCUGAGCCGGUACCGGCCCGGGCUGGGCUGGGCUGGGCUGAGCUAAGCUGAGCCGGUACCGGCCCGGGCCGGGCCAUGUGUGCCUGCAGAGCCCCCGCUGUCCGGAGCAGCCAGCCCGGCGCGAUCCCUCGCUGCAGGAAAAGCGCCCUGGAGAGAAAAGGGUGGAUUCCUGCUGCACGCGGGGAGGGAGCGGCCUUGGGAGCAGAGCUGAGCAAAGCCAUUUGCUGCACUGUUACAUCUAAGGGGUUCUCCUCUCUCCUCGGGAAAAAAAAAGUUUCCAAGAAAUCCUCGCUGCUGCUAUCUGUAAAUGGUGGUUUAUGGAGAGGAGGGAAAACGCAGGACGGGCAGUAAAUCAGCCACUAAGUGAUCCAGAGUCCAUUACCAAAUGUUUUUCAUUACAUGUAUGGCUUCACUAAUUUCUGCAAUGCGUUGUAGGCUAUUUCUGGAAGCUUUAAAAAUGCAUGAUGCUUCUGCAUUUUAAUACUUAACAGUAUGGUUAUUUCAGUUUAAUAAGGAAAAAAAAAAAGGGGGGGGGGGGAAUCUGCUUGACUGGAGUUGGCUUUCAUGCCACAAAAGGACCAAGCCAGUGCAAAAGCGUCCAAGCAGGAACCCUAUUUAAGUCCAGCAUGAAGAAAACCUUUCCAACCUCUUUCACCAAUUAGGAUAAUCGGGGUCUUUUGAUGUUAAAAUCCCCAGGAAUCAUAUGGAAAUCAUAAAAAGCACAGUACUUAAAACAGAGUCAGAAUGCAGAUAAAAUCAUUUUCCCUUCUUAACAUUUGGGAUUGCUCUCGGACAGGGAUGGUGAGGGAGGCUGUCCCUGAAAGCAGCCAAUCAUAAAGCAACGGAGCACCUGGGAGGCGAGGCUGGGAUGCAGCUGGAGCUGGGCCGGGCAGGCUCAGCCCCAGGCCCUGGAUGGGAACUGCUCCCAGCCAAGGGAAAGGAGACUGAGCAAGGACACACGGUGAUCCAGAGGGCAGCCUCUGGAAUCCCAGCCCCUGGAUGGCCUGGUGGGCUUGUACAGCCUUCCCUGGGGGAAUAGCAUCCUCCAUGACCAUAAACCAGGCUAAGGGAAUUGAAAUAACAGGCUUGAAUCUGUGCAAGCAAUUAUCUUUAGGUGAAAAGUACUUCAGCCUAGCAUUGCUGCUUUAUAUUGGACUGUUUCUGAGGCAUCCAAAUUUCGCCGAGUGUCUUGCUUCCAAGGAAUCUCAGGGCAAGAAUUCUGUUUGCCUUGACGAUUUAAAAAAAAGACCACGGGCAGGAAAACAAGGGAUGUUUUGCUGGAUGCAAUUUUGCAACACUAGAGGGAUGUUUUAUUCUCUUCAAGUCCAAUCCUGAUCAACAUAUUUUGCUGUGAAAUCUGACACACAGCAACGAACCUCUGUCAAAGGCACGUACAUAUUGAGAGAGACAGAGAAGCCGAUUUUACAAUAUUCUCCCAGACCGUAACAUCGUCUUGUCUGGAGCUGGUUACAUACCACUGCUGGAUUUGUGUGUGAUGUUGGUCAAAGCAAAGAGGCAAAGGGACAAGGAGGUGACGAGAGCGGGCAGAGGUGGGGACACCCAGCUCAAGAACCUUAAAUUGGCAUUCGAGUAAACUGAAAAGUAAGCAAAACUGUCCGUGUUUAUACAAGCAACUUGACUGUACUCUAAGAGAGGACAAGGGUAUGAAACUAUGUCCUUAUAAAGUAACGCUCAUCUUUUACUUAUCUAACAAAAAGAAACACAGGAGAGAGGUCAGAGGCCGCUGAAGGCAAAAAAACCCCAAGUGUUAAGGCCAGAGAAAUGGAAAACAAAGUUUCACAAAGACAGGAAUAUUUGCGGAUGGGGCAGACAGAAAACCCCCUUAAACACAGCUUGUUUUUCUAUUAAAAUAACCACGGAAUAUUGUUGUCAGUGGCAUGCACACCUCUGUGAGAACCUGAUAUUUAAACUGUCAGUUUGACAAGAAAUAAAAAUAACAGUAAAAAAAAGAGUAGCAUUACAGUUCUGAUGCAUCUGUAAAAAGGCAAUUGGUAUUAGUGUUAAAUAUGAAUGUGAAAUCAGCCUUCUAGCUAAUCAUCACAAAUUUCAGUUGUGUCAUGAAAUUCUCAUACAGAUUUUGAAUUUACUUUUAUGUCUUGGAGUAAUACCAAAACCGUAAUUAAUAUUAAUAACAACUUCCAUAAUAUCACCGUGCCUGAAUUGCUUGAUAUUCCUAGUAUUUGUAGGAAACAAGCCACGCAGUUCCUGGCACAAAUACUAUUCCUUAUUAGUUUUGCAGCUGAAUAAUAUUCAGCCUGUAACAGAAUCCUCCUAGGACUGAAAAGUACUCUUGUGCACACGGAUACACGCACAAAAACAACAACUGAAAGCUAAAAGCAAACUUGCCGAGAACUUCUGGGUCAGCUUUUGACAUCACCCAUAGGAAUGAAAUCAGACACCGACCAAUCCGGCACCAUGAGGCUGGCAGCACAAAAUAAACAAAAGCCGGGCCCAGGGCUCCACAAUGAGGAAGGGAAGUGGAAGAGACUAUUGUUCCGAGCGCUUUUAAAUGAUGGUGCUUUGUUUAUUUCUCCGGACAAUGCCUGAACUGAAUCUUUAAAAAGGGAAAGGAGCCUGUCCGCCCUGACCCGCGGGGUCUGUUAGAGCAGAGCGUGGGGGUUCUUUCCCCGGCAUGGGGGGUUCUCUCCCUGUCAUGGGAUUUUUCCCCUGUCCUGGGGUUCUCUCCCUGUCACGGGCUCCUCUUCCUGUCGUGGGCUCCUCUCCCUGUCGUGGGGUUUUUCCCUGUUGUGGGGUUCUUUCCUCGGCAUGGGGGGUUCUCUCCCUGUCGUGGGGUUCUCUCCCUGCGGUGGGCUCCUCUCCCUGCGGUGGGCUCUCCCCUGUCGUGGGGUUUUUCUCUGCGGGGGGCUCCUGUCCCUGCGGUGGGCUCUCCCCUGUCGUGGGCUCCUCUCCCUGCGGUGGGCUCUCCCCUGUCGUGGGAUUUUUCUCUGCGGUGGGCUCCUGUCCCUGCGGUGGGCUCUCCCCUGUCGUGGGCUCCUGUCCCUGCGGUGGGCUCUCCCCUGUCGUGGGCUCCUGUCCCUGCGGUGGGCUCUCCCCUGCGCUGUGCGAGCCCCCCUGUCCCGGUGCGGGGGAAGGCAGCGCUGUGCCUCCAUCCCCACCGAGCCCCGGCUCUGACACUCGCUGCCAGCCUUUCUGAAAAGCUGGCCAGGCUGCGUGCUAAGCUCUUUUCAAAAUUUGACCCUUAUUUAGGAGCCUGCCAGGAAGCCGAGGUCUUCAGAAGCCUGGCAGCGAGCGCGGAUGGAGAGCGCGUCGGGAGCCGCCCGGGGCGGGCGAUCCUCCCGGGGAAAAGCGACGCAGAGAAGGCUCUGCUGCUCCCUCGGCUCCGAGCAGCGCUGAACCUGCCCGAGCUGAGCCCCUGCAUGAGCCCACGGGGCAUUAUUCCCACGGGCGGCCCGGGGAGGACAAUGGCCCGUCCCACAGCCCGUGGAUGAUUCACUGCCGGGACACUCGAGCCUGAACUCCACAGGUCCAGCGUUCGGCCCACAGCUCACUCAGAGCUCAGUGGCGAGGGGUUUUUUCCAAAGUUCAGGUCAGCUGAACCAAGCUGGCUGAAUGACUUCAAUCCUCUCAGUGCUUCUCCAAGGAAAAAAGGGAAAAAACCCAAAGCAAGGUGUGUCUGCAGCUCGGAGAGAGCCUGCUGCCCCUUCGCCAUUCCUCAGCACGCCGCGCUGACAGGUGUACAGGGACAAGGACGUGCGUUCCAGAGGGAGAAGAUAAACCCGGACCCUGGCGUUGUACAGCUAAAGGGUAUCAGUCAUUCUUACAUCUUGAAUAAAGCAGACCUUUUUCUACUCUUGCCAAGAAAAUUAGUCCUAAGGUGCACACAAAUAAUUACAUAUUGUGGAACAGUAAAUUAUUACAAAUGCCACAGAAUUCAAGCAGCCCCAAGUCUGGGCCAGAUUUUCAAAUGUUUUGCAGAUGUUUAUGGUUUGCUGCGAAACUUUUGUCAAGUUACCCACACAACACAGCAUUUACUGAGGGAUUUUGGCACACGGUAAUUCAUUUUCUUUGCACAGGUGUUGCAUUCCAGAAAUAUUUUGUCUUCUUAUAGAAGACUGCUGGAAUUCUACUUUAAAAAAAAUCAUCUUGAAAGAAACCAGAUCCUCUCAUCUGGGAGAGGAAAAAAAAAAAAGCCCCCCAAAAUCAGUUAAUUAGUUAAUUUGCCUUUUCUUUCUUUUCAGGUAAAGAAAACCUCUGUAACAGGUAAAAAUACAUUCAAAAUAUGUUGCAGAUGCCUGGUAUUUCUGCAAGACUCACCAACUGGGAGAGCACAGGGUGAUUAAGAGAUUCUGGAGUACCAGGUAGAGUGCCAGGGGUUAAUUUCACCUCCCUGGAGCUCCCAGCGGGGAUUGCUGGGGUUUGCCAUCACCGGAGCACAGCAGAGAGCCAGGCAGGAGGCUCUGCCCCGCCAGGCACAGGGGCACAGGGGCAGGGCAGCACAGCACAGCAGCAGCAUCCCCAGUGCCCCCGCCACCUCUCCCCCUCUGCCCCACCACAAAGGCACCACCCGCACCCUUUUGUCCCCAGCUUUUAUUCCACACGGCGUGGGGCAGGAAGCAAAACACAAAACGGGGCUCUGCAGCACUUUUGGACCUUUCCCUGACUGAAAGGUUGCCUGGAGGCGAAGUGAAAUGAAACCCUUGGGACUGAACAACUUUGCCUUUUAAGCAUAUGGAAAUUAAACAUUAAGCCUAAAAAAAUUUCCAGGAGCAGAUAUGAAUCCAGAUAUAUUAGUGCUUUGUAGAUAUGGAAAAAUACAACCAGCUAUCUUCAACUUCCUAGACGCGCAAGCCACUAAGUUUUCCUUCAGGGUAGGAAAGCAAAGAUGAAAAUGCCAAAGGACUGUUAACCUUUAGAGACACAUUUUAAGAGAUAACAUGACUGAACUCAGAUAAAUCGGAAUUAAAUUUAAUCAACCUCCCACUCCUUAGCUACACUAUCAGAAGAGAAAAAUCUACAAUUAGGGAAGAAACAGAAGGAAAUUCAGACAUCUUAAACUGAGCAAGCUUCCAUCUCUGCUGUGCAACUUCCUGAUGAUACUAAAUAUUGCAAUUCCCAUGUGCAGUAUUACAGACUUGCUGUCUUAACAGUCCUCUUAUGAGUAAUCAGUGGAAGGGAACAUUUAAAUAAUGUUUUGGAGUGCAUAUUGUCUAGAUUUGGUUGUUGUUCUCUCAUUUAGAGCAAAAUGAGUCUAAAUUUACAAUUUAAAUACUUUGCGUCAAAUCCUUAAACCACCCUUCUCUCCUUCUGUGAAUGGAGCUGCUGACAUUUUUGUGCUCCACUACAGCACCUAGGAAUAGAUAAUCCUUUAAUCUUUUGCUCUCUGACUCCACCCACAAGCCCCUGGCACUAAUUUCAGAGUACAGACUGGGAUGUUUCCAGUGAGCCGAGCAUUAGAGUAAGAUGGACUGUCACAGCCAGGAACGUGUGGCCAGAAAGUGCUGCCACGAAAUCAGGUGUGAAGGUACCUACAACAGGAGCCUUGGUUUCUAAGGGGUGGAUGAGGAGUGUUCCAGCAUGAACAUUAACGCCUGUAUUUAAAGAAGUGUAAAAGAAGUUUGAAUAUAUAUUAUUAAAAUACUGACCCUCCUAUCCACUGCAUUUUUUUUGUUUUUCCAAAUUAAACUAUUAAGUUAUGAUAACCUACAACACUUCUAUCUUAUCCUAAACUUAUUUUUUAAAAAAUCCACAACACACAUGUCACUGCUCACUCUUAAUUUGUCUGGAGAAAGCCAGGCCACUGAGUGGACACCUUUCACUGCCUAGGCAUCUAAAACAGCUCAUUGAAGCUUUGCCCUGGGCUUUUUCUUCAACAGUAUUUUUUUCUGCAAGUUACAGCAACAGCUCUCCUAAUUUUCAGGUAGUUCGGUUUAUAAUUAGUUCACUGUAAGUCAGGAAAACAAUUAGAAAAGAAGGAAAGUUUAUUUUCCUCUUUGCAUUCAUGAAUAAAAUUGAGAUGUGCAAUUAUAGACUACAUAAGUGGCUCACAAAUUUUGAGGCACUUGGUGUUCAGAACCAAGGGGCUCAAUGCCGUAGCUGUAGAUGCUAGCUUGGUGUACAGAUCAGCUUUAAAAGCACAACAUAUUUCAGGAAAAAUUUCUGCCUUGUAUUCUGUAACAUCAAACAUAAGACCACUGAAGCAGUCUUGAAACCUCACUCUUGAGUAUUUCAAUUGAAUUCAAAUUACUAUGAAUGAAUCACAUGAGACUAAAAGAUCUAUUAUUUCUACCAAGAAAUAUGAAUCACUGUUUUCUAGCAAAAGGAGAGUGUAAAAAUGUAGAAUGUGAGUAAAUGUCCAUAAGCAGUGCGCGUGUGCCUAGAGAAACCCAACUGUGUAGAACAAACAGCUCUGGCUAGCAAAUUAUAUUGACCAAUAAAACUGAGCCUUUGUUUAGAAAGUAACUGGAAAGCAAAAAUGCAAAACAAGAUUACACUUAAUUAUUUAAAUCAAAGCACUCUGCUUGUUGAUUUAAAUUGUGAUUAAAAUCAGGGAUUUAAAUUAAUCCACUCUGGAUUGCAUAAGCACCACCUAAGUAAGAGGGAGCAGUAGCUGCAUCACCCAAGUCAUUCAGGAAGAGAACUGUGGUGGAGCACAAAGGAGGCGGAGGAAGCUCAUUCAUGGACAUCCCUCUGCUGCCCAAACUCUCCCAUUCUCCCCACAGAGAGAGAGAGCAAAUGUGUGAGUGGGAGCAGUGUGGCCAGGAGCGUGCACGUGUGAAAACGUGCACGGGUACUACGAGGUAAAAUAAUGGUGGUAAUUCUUCAUUAAAAGCAGGAUGUAUCUCUCACACAAAACAGAGCAAUUACCCACGCAUUCCAAUUACUCUUUCUGGGUUUAGCACUGAGGUCCCUCGGACAGUCCAUGCUGUCCAGCAGCAGGAGAAGCUCACUCCCUGUCUGCCUGAUGCUGACGUUUAGUCAGUGUCAGCCCAACAGCAGCCAGUACUAAAUGCUGUACUGAAAAGGCUUUAGCUCUGCACUCAGAUACCCACACCCAACCCCUCUUCCAGCUUCUACCAAACCCUGGACUCAACAUUUCUUCCUGGACAGCAGGGAGGUGAACAGACAAUCAACAGUACAACUGAGUGAAAAGGGAGAUCUGCUGCAACUUCACCACAUGUCCAAGGUGAUCAAAACACCAACAUAACCACAAAGGAGCAUGAACUCAGGCACUUGACAAUGCAACCUACAGCACAUUUACUCCAAGGACACUUUAAUAUCUUGUAUGAGAACAUCCUCUCAAAUAAUAUGAUUUAGUUUUCAGCCAAGGUCCAAUUACAACUAAAUUAAAGCAGCUAAGCCUUUCUUCUUUCUGCUUCGCAGCUCGAUUUUGAAGGACAAACUACUCUGGUUGAGCCUACUUCUAAGGAACUACUUUUCUUCUUUGAUUUUACAAGAAAGUGUUUUACAAUCCAGAGAGGAUGAGUCAUCAGAAAAUCCUUGUCUCGUUGCCAAAAACCUGCCCCUCUUCAUUAUGAACAUAAAGAUAAAAGCUCUUACAGUACAUUAGCUGGCAUACGCCUACACAGACAGUACAAAUAAAUUAAUUGUGCCUAGCCUCAAACAUCCAGAGAGGUGUAGUAGGAGCUCGGUCCAUCUUGUUUCAUUAACAAAUUAAACUGUAAUAGAGCAUCAACAAGUCCUCUUAUGUACAUAAGCUUGGCUAUUGUAUAGAAAGGUUUUGCAGGUAUCAGGAAUCCUUACAAACAGACAUGGCAACUCUUCAGCGAUUCCCAUUAGCUUGCAUGGACUACAUAAACACCAGCAAAAUUGUAUAUGCUGGAAAAAACUCAUUAAAGCUGGAGUAAGAAUAUGGGAUGUUGGUCUAUUCAGAAACUGCACAGGAUUCUGGAACCCAACACUGAGGUAGUGGUGUUUAUUAAAAAGGGAAUUUUGAGUAUGACACUAUUGCACACAGGCAAAAUGUACCAAUUGUCCUGCAUCUGACAAGAAUGGCAAGUGUAUUUGGAAGUGUGAGCUGGACUGUGUCCACUCUGCUGCAUUCAGGUUUAUAAUUCAGAAUAUGAAAAUCUGCACCACCUGCAAACAUCAGGGUUAUUUCAUAAAAAUAUUCACACGGGUGUAUUGUGAAGCUCAGACAAUGAGGAAACGGAUCCAAAGGGAAGCCACUGGGUAAAGCACUGUACGUGGACCAGGGGCCAGAAUUACUGGAGAUAAUCAACAUUUACCAUCAAACUCCUGCUACAGAUGAACUGUUUUCCUUCUGGAAUGCUCACAAUCUUUAGCAUGAGAAAGUUAUACACAACCAACUUGAAAAACAAGUUUAACUCUACUUAGCCACAAGCUAAGAUUACACCCUCAAACACACCUUUCUAAGAUUUCUUAUGAGAGGUUUGUUUGUGCAAUACAGUUAAGGGCAAUUUGUUAAAAUUGCUCUGUGAUUUUCUUUAUCCUUUAACUGCAUAAUUUAAGCAACCUGCAUUUUAUAAGUUCAAAGAAAUUUUUUUUGUAAUUACCUAUUCCUGCUUUUACCUCCUGAAAAUAGAAAAGCUGUGGAGAGAAAAUACAGAAAAAAAGAAUGGCUGAGAGAAGUUGAGCUCAAUCUAGCACAGAAAACAACUUUUUAAUUAAUGAGAGCAGAAAGUGAUUAACACAAAGCACGAGGGCUCAAAAAUACCUGCAGAGUGUGCUGCUGCUGCUCUGCCUCUGUCCCCAGGGCUGGGAAAAGCCAGAGAGAAAGGCAAGGCACAGCAGUGCUGGUAGCCCAAGGGCAGCACCUGCCUGAAGCCCCAGUGAUCCCCCCCAGAGAAUUUAACCCCCUGUGUGCUUUGGCCAGGCAGUUGUUAAGGUCCCAGCCGGGGCCCAGCAGGGCACAGCCAUGGCUGUGACAUUCUGGACAGCUCUCAGCCUGGCUGCUUCCAGCUUCAUCCCUCCUUGAGCUCCAUGUCAGCCAGGGACAUUUAAACCAGGGACAGCUUCCCUUCUCCUCCUGGCUGAGGGAAGCACACUGCUGCUACCUGAUGUUAGAAGCUCUAAGGAGGUGUGGCACAGGUGGACACAGCCUCAGCAGCUCCCAGACAAGCUCCAAACGCCAUCUGCAGAGGCCAGAGCUUUUCCUGAGGUGUGCCCGGAGGCGCGGGCGCACACCUUGCAGCAGGCCGCGGCUCCCGGCUCCCACUGCACACGCGCUUUGGUUUUUUCCAGAGAUCAGUUCUGACAGGCACCAAGGCCAGUGCAGACACACUGGCCCAGACUCGUGACAUCACCUGAUUAACAAACGCAAGGAAGGUUUGGCAGCUCUGGCCAGGGGCAGCCAGCCCGUGGGAGAGCGGCAGGCAGUGCAGUCCAGCUCGGUGCCCCGUGCACUGCUGCCAGCGAUAAACAGCUGCUCCCCAGCCCCCCGUAACCAUCUCCUCACAGGGCCUCGUCUGCAAGCCCAGGGGCCCCCCAAAGCAGCCGCCAGGCCUUGCUGUCAGAGCUCCCACUCCUGGCCCCGGCCAGGGGGACACAAGGGGUGCUGAGGAUGCCAUCGGGACCUCGCGAUGGCAGUGCCACAGCAGGGAGGUGACAGAGAGCCCGUGACUGUGCCUCGCCGAACAGAGCCCAGACCCUGCCCCAGCACCACAGGGGAGCCUCACCGAGCACCCUGCGCCCCACCAGAGCACAGCCCUCAAAAAUGAGGCCACUGUAGGUCCUUUUCUCUUCCCAUUCCUUUAGGAACACCGCCUGGUUUCUGCGGAAUGAUACCAGCACCUAAUUAGCGCUAUGGGUUAAUCACCUCGCCCCAGGAGUUUCCCUCUGCCCCAUGAAUAAAGGAAGGCAGCCCAGGUUCCCGUUAUCCAGCUAGCAGCACGGGCUCCAAUAAAGCUCCAUCCUCAGCCAGAGCCAGCCACAGCCAGCACACAGAUCCAUAAUGGCUGAUGCAGAACUGGUGAUAUCCUCUCUUCUGGGGGGUUAAUACUUGCCCUGGGGGAUAAUUGUGCAGGACUUGAGAUGAGAGAUUCCCAUAAAAGGCAGUAAGAGUCACCCAGCUCAAACCACACAUAACUCAAGCUAGUUUACCCCUUUGCAUUAUUUAAAUGUCUCUCUUCAAUGUGAACGCAUCAAUUUAAAGGCACAGGGCUGCCAGCGCUCGGGGCAGGCAGUUCUCCUCUGGCCACCGAAUGUGUCUGCUCAGGAUGUAAAUCUGCACGCACUUCAGCGGGGUGCCUCCCCUGGGCCUCCUGGCUGUCGGGGAGCAGGACAGGACCCUGCCAUGCCGGCCGCUGCUCCCAGGGAAGGCCAGCAGCAGGACGGCUGUCCUGGCGCCAGGCAGGGCGGCUGAGCCCCCCGAGCUGCUGCAGACACCCAAACCCCACACAGGGGCAUCCCAAUCCACGGCAGCUGGCAGCUCUCCGGGCCCCAGGAGAGCUCCGGGACACUCCCGGAGGGGACACAGAGGAGGAAGAGAAGCUCCUGGCCCUCCCACUCUCCUUUCCUCUUCCUGGCUCGUCCUUGCAAGAGCUUCUGCUAAAUCAAAACUUACCCCAGUCCAUGCAGGUAACCGGAGACUUUUCCCAAUCACUUACAGCUUGGCCUUCCAUCUUAAGAUUACAGUUCUUUUUUCCCCCAGGUUUCUAUCUGCACAAAGACUGCCACAAGGUUCAAGUUACAGCAAUUAAUGAAAUUUAACUACAUUAGUAGGGAGAGAGCCUUUUUAGGAACAAUUUUGGUUUUAAUGUUAAAAAAAAUGCAGCAAUAAGAGUGAGGUAGAAUAUUUUAAUUUGAUUGCCUGUUUCUUUCUCUGGCUACACGUAUGAACUUGUUUCCUGGUCAAGGGGAAUUUUUGCAGGUAGAAAAAAAUAAUUCUGUCAUCCACUCAGUCCUUGAGUGUCUUGUUUUCACAAGACAGAAAGGUUUUGUCAGUCAGGUUACCUAGGAGUGAAAGUUAUGUCUCAUAAUCCAUAAUUCUAUUGCCCAUUACACACCAUCUGGUGACACAGUCAAAGAUAAUCUGAUUCUUGUCUUUCAAAAACAUCACAUAGCUCUAUUGUAAGUUGCAUGCAACAUGAUAAAUGGCUUAUUUAAAUAUGUCUUUUAAAAAUAUCACAUAGCUCUAUUGUAAGGUGCAUGCAACAUGAUAAAUGACUUAUUUAAAUAUGCUAUUUCUGUGCAGUUUACAAUUUCAUGGUCACUCUCAGCUAACAUGAAAGCAGCUUUGAACGGGGUUUUUAUUGACUGGCAUUUCAAGCAUCUGAAUCCUUAACUGAGGUUUUUUACAUAUUUACAAUUACACCUAAAGCUGUAUGAAUAAACAGCCAACAUCCAGCCAACCUUUGAGAAGCUUUGAUUGGAAUUGAAAGCUUUGCAUCUAUGAUGGAACAAAUAUCACGACACUGCUGUCCCCUGUCUUAAAAGCAGCAAUGCCUUUUCACAGUGUCUUCACCAGGAGGAGCCUGAUAAGAUUUAGUUCCAGACUACUCAGACUGAUGCAGGAGUUCUCAAGUAUUUCCACAGAUUCUGGGAGUCUGCCCAGAAAAAGGUCCUUGCAAGGUAACCGUCCACCAAUACAUCUGCAGGUUUGCAGCAGGUUUGCUUUUGCCACUUUAUUUCCAGUCUCCAGAGUAGUUAAGUGAGCUGCCAAAAGUUGAAUCCUCACAAAAUAAAUAAAAAAAAAAAAAAAGAGAAUCAAUCAUGCUGGGCAGAAGAAAGCUCUUACACAACUAACCUGGUGAAAGGAAAUAGGCCAUUUGCUGUUGCUCAACUCCUCUGCCAAACUAUUUCAGUGGCCCUUGCAUUCUCCAAGGCCAAACCUUCAAACAACAAUCUCAUCCCCUUCUGAUGCACAAGACACACCCAAGACAUUUUCAGGAGGGGUGGAAAAGUAGUAAAAGAAGAUUUCUGUGAUUUGCAGUCAGGUUCUUCUGGGAAGAUUACAUAUUUCUAGGAGACUGUGAUGUACACAUGCAUCUGUGCCUCUGAUACAAUCACAUAAUCACCAUUCAGAUCUGAAGAGCAAUUUUUUCCAUGCAGAUUUUUAUUACUUUCUCUUCCUGGAAUAAUUAACCACUUUCGGAUUUUUUUUAACAUAGGAGAAGACUUCAUUCUCAACUGGCUCUUCAAUCACAACUCUGAAUAAUUCCCAUUUUCCUUGCAGGCUGUCAGGCUGCUGUGCCUGGCUGCUGUGCCAUUUGCACUGGUAGGUUUUGUUCACAGCAGAGCCUCUGGGCAGAGCACAAGCCUACAAUAAUCUCAUUUAUUGAUCCACCUGCACCACUCACCAGGAUUUUCCAGAGUCUCAGGCUUCCUUUGGAGAAGAGGAAGGCAGCAGUGCUCCACUGACAGCCAGUUCCUGGCAGAGCUCCCUGUGGGGCCCAGCUGCUGGGAUGCUCCAGGGGAGGCAGGGAGCAUUCCCCAAACGUGGCAGGAUGGGGUGGCACAGGCACAGGUGUCACCCCAGGUGAGAGGUGACAGCUGUUCCACGUCACUGCUCCUCUGCCCCACGCACCUGCAGAGCCCUGAAAGCACCAGAGCUCAGCCACGGAGCCCGGGAAGCUCGUCCCACUCCCUCUGCCCCCCAGAUCCCAUCCCUGCUCCCUCUGCCCAGCCCGUCCGGCUGCCCUUGCCUGUCAGGUACAUUCUGCUACUAGGAGGGAUUUGGAUAAAGCAGUUAAGUAUCUGGCAAGCAUUUUCUUCAAUGAAGACAUGCUCGGAGCUAGGCAAUCAUAUUUUUAACUGUGCUGCCUGCCAGAAAAGUGCACAAACUUCCAAUAGCAAAGAAAUGAGGUCAUUUUGGUCAUCUGCCAAAAUCAGCACAUUUCCUCUUUUGGUUCUGGAUGCUGCACUUCCAUACUCCACAGCGUGUGACAAGCUGUGAGCGGGAGGUGUAGUCUCUCAGGAAAAAAAAAUGAAAGUAAAUUGGUGGAUGUUAGGUUUUUUCUCUUAAAAAAAAAAAAAAAAUAGAGAGAGAGGGGAAGGAAAAAAGGGGGAAAAAAAAAUCAUGAAGUGUCCUGAUGUCACAUGACUUCCUCCCAAAGAUCUAUUUAAUUGGAAUCUGGUAUAACCUUCCUAAGAAGAUGUCAAUACCUUGUCCUGAUGUUGCAGCAGUGUAAAGCCUCAUCCUGUUAAGGAAUUCGAAAGGCUUACAGCAGGGAUGCAGCUUUUGCUUAGAAGGCUGGACUGGAAUUGAGCAGAUCAGGAUUAAACCCUGAUUUUGCCACAAGUUCCUGUGGGGCUUUGAGCAAGACUCCUAAAUUGCUUUGCCUUGAGAUCCUAUCUUGAUCCUGGUCUUUGUCUUUAAAAACUAAGUUUUCCUGAGCUGGGAAUAUCUCUUUGCAGCACAGCAGGCUCUGGAACAGUGGAUUUUGGAUGCUCAUUUGGGCCUCUUAAUGCUAAUGCAACACAAACCCAAAUGACAGUAGUAGCAGUAAUAAUAAUAAUAAUAAUAAUUAUCUCUCGGUCUUUAUUUUCAAGUUAAUGUCUGCCAAAAAUGUUAGAGGAGUUUCUCAUUGUGGCAACUACUGUAUUUAUGGGCAUAAUUUACAAGCAGCUCAUCUGAAUAAUUUGAAUUUUUUAUUAAGAUUAUUUUCUCAUUUUCCAUUGAGAAGCCUUCUUAGAUACUGACUCACUUUCAGCCUCGUAGGGAAAAGUGCCAAGCAUUUGUUUUUCUUCUGUCUGCAGUAGUUAUUUGACUCCUGCAUUAAACUCAGCAAAGCCAAAACCGAAUAGGAACAAUCUUAAUUUAAUUAUUAAAUAUAUUUCAAGCUUCGCUGUGAUUUUAAAAAAGCACUUUCAUGUGGGGUGGUGGAAAUGUGCCAGGGAAAUCUAAAGGAACGAUGUAAUCCUCUGUCCCUACCCCUCCUUUCUUCCAGCCUCUCUCUAAGGCAGGAUAGGUGAACCCAAACCAAGCGGAGUCAGGGUGAGACAGUUUCGCUUUAGGUUUGCUUGGCAGAAAGUUACCAGGGCAUCCUGCCAAGCCUGCCACUUUUGAGAUAAAUAUGACUUUCUUUCAGGGCAGUUUUAUGAGGGGCACAGCAAGAGGCUCAUAUACUCUGGCGAUUCACUUGCAGAUUGAGCUAUGCAGCAGCUGCCGCUGCUCCAUUAUAAACAACAGCUCGCUCUGAAGUUCUCUUCACAAGUUUACAAAAGGGACAGUGUAUUUAUCUGACGUCUGUUACAGUGCUGGGCAGAUACACAGAUGGCCUUUGACUCUCACCUUCUGCAUCACACCCAGCCAAACCCCGGCCCACAGAAAGGGUUCGCCUGUAAAUUUCCCUGCUCCCUUCAUCUGCCUGACAAUCCCAGCCAGCUUACUUUCCUUGGGAGGGUCAGACUGGCAGAUGAACUACGGGGAAGAGAGGAAACAUGUUAAGUAUGAAAACAUUCUCCUAAGCCCUCACAGGAAAAGGAUGUAGCUAACAAUAAAAGAGAACCACGCGUUUCUCUGCCAAAUUUUAUCGUACAAGAUUAUGCGUUUCCAAAACUUACAUUUAUACCACUCAAAUUUCAGUCAUGUUACAUCCACAGGAGGCACAUUCCAAAGUGCUCUUCCUACGCUGCCCAUAGUCGGUUCUGGAGGUUCCUUUCGAGGUCAGCACGGGCCCAUGGAUCACCACAGGAUCCUCCACGGAGGGUAACUGGAGUGUAACUCCCACCAGAGUGCUGGCAGCUGCAAAGUGCAGAGCUCCACCACGGCCAGAGCAUCGAGUGAUGCCCCAGGGAACACCUCCAGGAGCCACAGGGCUCGCAGGGACUGCUUGAAGCAAGCUCCCUUGCCCAGGUCCUCACCCUGUGCUGAUGGCUUGGCCUCAUGCUGGGCACAAGCACCCUUUGCUGGGCAACUGGGAGGAUAAUAACUUAAAGUUUGUCCUUCCUGCUCUGGAGUCCCCUGCGCUUCUUCAGUUUUGCACAGCUGGAACAGUAAAGCCAAGGAGCUGACAGAAGUGUGCUCUGGGCAUGGCUUUGAACAGCUUGCCUUUUCCUGGCGCAGUGACCACAUCAUCCGCAGUUUCUCUGAAAAUCUCCAGCUCUGACUGUCCUGGCCGAGUUUCAUGGCUUUUUGUACCUUUUCAGGGAGCAACCAGAAUGAGCUUUUUGAUGGGCCAUCCCCAGCCCAAGCAUUACUCCCAGAAACACCAGUCAGCACAGACCCACUGACCUUUGUUUGGCUCCCCCAGUCCCAGCUGGGCAGCUGACUGUGCUCGCUCCUCACCUUGUUCACCUGUGGACCAGUCUGCCAGACAGGCAGCACAAGCGGGUUUGGCUGCACGCAGGCUGCUGGACAGACUUCUGCAAGCAGCCCCUGGUUCCCAUUCACUGCCUGACCAGUGGAGUGAAUUCCCAGGCCAACACCUGCACUCAAUUCUACCAACACAAAACCAAAAAGAAAAGUUGCUGGUGUGGGUCGUUCUCAGAAGGGAUCCAGGGCUCUGUAAGUUGCCUUCUUCUCAUGGAUCUGGAAUCACUGCACAUGAUGAAAGCAGUCUAUUAACAGUCCAUCAUAAAACAGUCUCUGAGAUGUUAUGUCCUGAAUUAUGUGUAUGAUUGUUCGGCCUGUUUGGUGACUUAGUGCAGUGGGAAAUCUAAAUCACUGCUGUUACACCUCCAACUAAGGAUUUUUAAACAAUUAUUUUAAUUAAAGAUGGAAAAAAAUUAAAAAUACAAGUUCUCAGAAAAAAAAAAACAAACUUCAAAAACACUGUGGUCAUUCUUUGAGCAGCCUUAAAUAUGGACAUGAUGUAUUUUCUGGUCCUGGGACACACCAGGGUCAGUGUGUUAUUUCAGAGGAGAAUCAGCUUGUCUGCAAGGACUGAGACCUAUGCAGCCAUUUCUGCUUAAAAACCACUUAAAAAUGGCUCUUCACAUGCAUUUCCAUAAUAAAGCACUUUGUAACUGUUACCCAAUUAUUGCUCAGAGCAUUAAGUAACAAGGUAUUUUACUCCAAUUUCACAGAAGGGAACAAAUCAUGGAAUCCGAAAAACUUAUUCUGCUUUUGCGUAGGCUUUCUCAUAUUAAUUAAUUAUGAGACUUAAUUACAUUCAAUCUCACCACCACUCCAAGCCAAUUACGGAAAACUGGGUAAAGUAAAGGAGCAGGGAAAUCUGUCUUGGAGACAGUCACUUACACUGACACCACUUUCCACACAGAUAUGUAAGGCAACUUUGCAAAUAUUGACUUGCCCCCUCGAAGCAUCAGGAUGGAUUUUUCUCUGAUUUUUCCCAACUGUCCCUCCAGCAGUAAUCUGAGCUGUGAUCACUUCUCCCAGCUUCCCCUCUCAACUCUGCCCCAGAAACCAAAUGCAAAUCUCUGCUCCCUGACUUGUGCCUUAAUCACAUGAUCACCUUCCUUCCCAGAAGCAGCAAAAAAAAAUCUCCAGGCAUGGAGUAAAAAAAAAAAAAAAUCACCAGAUGAGAAGAGCUCUAAUCCAAUGAUUUUAAGGGUUGCUCAAAAUUGAUAUAUUAGAUAGACAGACAGACAGAGAUACAUAGAUAGAUGCUACAAACUAUUUAGAGCUUUCUAUUUUUUUUUUUUUUUUGAAUCUACAGCAAUUUUAUUCACUGAAGCUUUUCCCACAAAGGGAAUGGUAAAUCCUCUAAAGCAUCACUUUAAAAGUUUUUCUUACAUUGGAGCAUCUAUGAUCACCCUCUGCUGAAACACUAAUUCACUAUUUCCCACAGCACUCAGCCACAGGGACUCACAACACAUUUCAAUGCCUUCAACAGCAGCAGCGUUCCACAGGGAACCAUUCUCCAAUUUCCAAGCCAAGGCUCUUACAAAGAUGGACUAAGCCAAGGCAAACUGGCCUUUUUAUAUUACUACCAACUGAUCCUCCCAUAAAAUGUGCACAUUUAAAACCAGAGGAGAAACAAGAGCAACUGUCUUUUGCAGUUUGUCUGAAGAGGGCCAUGAGCUCAAAUAAGUCUACUUUAUUAAAACUGGGGAGAGAUAUUGAGCAGACUGGAUUUUUUCUUCAUUUUUUUACUCUGUUUGCCAGUGAGCAAAGCCUUCUACAAAAGACUUUGUGAAUAAAGGUGUAAACGCAAGCGGAGGAGACUCCAUGCAUUUGUGACUUUGACUCCUCUGGAGCCAAGAUCUCACCCAGCCUUCACAGUUGUGACAAUUUGCGCUCAGCCUGGCCUGUUCCAGCAGAACACUCAGUCUGUGCUCGUGGCAAUCAUGCCUUGUUUGCAUCACACCGUGCCACGCGUGCCACGCGGGUUUCACACGCCGUCAUGCACCGCAGUUCAUUUGAAAUGCUCUCCAGUUCCCCAAGAGAGAGAGCCUCAUGGCGUGGCAGCAGGAUCCACUACAGCGGGAUCUGGCAGGCUGCAUUCGCAGGACUGCGUUGUAAAAUAAAUAAAUUAAUUAAAGGCAAAAUAAACAUUAGCAUUUUGACUGUUUCUUGCUGUUUUUCUAAAUAUUCUAAAGUAAAACAGAAAAUACUUUGCCGAGCCUGAAAAACCAAAGGAUUUUCAGAUGCAGUCAAAUGAGGCAGCUUUCAAACAUACAUCCUUCCAGCAAAGCAUUCCCCCUUCUUUGCCCAGUGAUAUUUCCACUAGGCUGGCAAAGGGCAGCUGCAGGGUAAAACGUUCAGAGGUAACCCGGCCACUCAAAAGACUGAGAUGGUCAAACCCUCACCUGAAUGAAUCCCCACCCCUAAGGACAGCUUCACCCUCUCCCAGGUAGCCUACUACAUCUCCUAAGGCCCACCCACCUUCACUCAGGCACAGAGGUGGGGGCAGGAUCUCCCUCUGGAAGCUUUCAGAAGCACACAGCUCUCUCCUCUGAAUAUACUGAUAAUUAGAAACUUUCAUGCCUAAGACUGGCUUACCAUGCACCAAAAAAUUCUGAAAUCAUUUCAGUACACAGUCCUCUUAAUUUGGUUCCCAUCUUCCCAGCUUCAGAACCGACACUUCCCGCCAAAUGGAAGUUACAAACUGAAUUGUUAAAACAAAUAUCAGCACAAACUCCGUGUUAAUGAGAACCAUGUCUCUUCCAUGCUUUCAAUGCUAACCCCUGAGAUUAAUUAUUAUAUUUAGUGUCUAGGACAGCAACACUUCCUACUCAGCACCUGUCAUGGGUCCAGCAAUUAAUUGCAUACCACUGACCUUCACAGAACACCAUGGAAAUUUUAUUACUGCACGACUCAAUUGCAGUUGUACAACACUGCCACAGAACUAUGUCUUAUUGCAAAAAAAAUCAUGCGCUCACAAAAGGCACAGUUGAGCCAACUGAACUAUUUAUAAUUUGCAGAAUAUAAAACAUUUCACAAGGUUUACAACAUACAUACACAAAAAAAAAAAAUUGCAGCCUUAAUACAAGACAAAUGUUACCAAGAUUCACGUUAUGGACAAAAGCAGAAUGGAAAAUAUUCCCCAAAGCCAUAAUGGCAGGGUUAUGUAGUAUGCUAUUUAAAAGCUAUUCACCAAUGUCUUCUUCCUGUUAGCCGGAGCUCUAUGGUGGAGAUUCGACUGAAGAAAACCAAUUAAUGAAAUUGUGGUUCUACAGCGGAGGGACUGGAUGUGUAAGACCAAGCAGAGGAAGGGAAGGACCACACUGGCACACCUGACCCAGUGCUAGGCCCAGGUCUGCCACCCUGGAGUUAUCUCUCUGCCAGCUUGCUGCUUUGAGGGGGCUACAUCCUACUCAUGUCAUGUUGCUGUGGCUUAACCCCAGCUGGCAAAUCCAAAACACAGCCCCACACCAACAUGGUAAAGAAAAUCCACUCCAUCCCAGCCGAGAGCAGCACCUCUGCCUUACUCUCCUCCAAGGAAAUGCUGCAACUCAGCACAUUUCUUCAAAGUUCCAGAGUCUCCUUGCUCCUCUCCAAACCAAAGGGUUCACAAAAUAAGUAAUUGCUGCAUGACUACUCUAAUUCCAAACUGGCAUGCUAAUGUCAGACCAGGUGGAAGUCAGGGCAAGCAGACUUUCUCCCUGGUUUCAAGGGCUGCGUCCAGGAUGAAAUAACUCGUCACGCCCAGAAUUCCAGCGCUGGCUUCCAAGUUCCCAGGCUCGAGUGACCCAGGCACAAACCUCUGCACUCACACAUCUGCACCUGCUGCAGACUCAGGCAGGGAAAGGGAUGGUGCAGGCAGCGUCUCAGGCUUUGUCAGAGGUGCACAUGUGCAAGAGCUGCUGUUUUCAUAGCUGGCACCGUCCUCGUGCCGGAGUGAUCGAUAGGCAGCAGGGCUCAGUGGGGCAAAACACCCAUCCCCUAAAGUCAAACCCUAGAGAGUACCAAGAGACAACCGUGGAGCAAACUGGAGACCACUGCUCAUGCAGUAUUUCAAUGGAAGUGUGAUAUCUCACUGAAUUUGCACCUCCCAAACCCCUUGUUUGAUUUUCCACAAGCAAUGAAAAAUGCUUCCUGCCGUGACAAAUUCCUCACAUCUCAGGCAAUGCGUUUCAUUUCACCAAAAUGCAGGUACUGCUGGGUUUACCACAUCAAUCCGGUUUCACAUCUUUUUUGGCUGAAGAUUUGCAAUCUCUGUGGCCAAUGACAGUAAGAUUACCUAGCAAACAAAGCUCACCAACAAUGCUUUGCUUUGAAGGAUCACCUACACAAGGAAUGGAUGAUAUUUGCAAGGCAAUUCAGGGCUCUGUGAUGGUUGAGAUUUUCUUGUGAGCGCUUUUUUUUUUUCCCUAAGAAGUUCAUUAAAAUUUUUCAGUUGAUACAAUAGAUUCUUCCAUCUCUUCAAUACAGCAGAGGAAAUGAAGUGAAACUAGCUUCAUUGUAAUGGAAAAGUGAUCUCAUAAUCUAAUUCACUUUGCUCCCUAAUCACAAAUGCUCAGAGAGCACAAGCUAAGGAAGGAAGGUGUAAAGUGAUGCUGCAACUUCGCUCCCACAAUUAAAAAUCUCCUUUCCUGAAGGAGUCUGGGUUGCAAACCAGAACGAAGCACACAUGGUAUUGAGAUUACUGAGAAGCUGUGGGCAAGGCUACGAUUCAGAGGCAAGAGCCCUGCUCUGUUUGAAACUAAAUCCAGAAUUCCCAUCGAUUUUGCUGACACCUUGGCUUAGAUAUUCGUGAGGCCUGAUCACAGAGCACAUUCAUACACAGAGAGGUGCCUGCAAUGGCUUGCUAUACAGCCUGAUGCAAAAAAUGAAUGCAAAGAUGACAGACAAGCCUCCCCUCUCCCAGCCAGCAAAGCUUUUAUUGCCACCUCUUCAACACUUUCACCUCUGCCAGAAGUCCCCUCUGCCCGCCUGGCCCCUCCAGCUGUCCAAAGUGUCUCCUCCAGACUGCACUGCUGAGCAGGCAGAGCGUGGAUUAAACAGUAUUACGUGUUCUUUCUGUCAUUCUGUUUCCAGCAAUUCAGAAAAUCACUUUUCUCCUUGUGGAUAUUUUUCAAUAAGGCAAGGGAGAUGUUACAGGAAAAAAAAAAAUCUCCAAGAUCAGAAUAUAUCAGAAACUUGAGAAUACUUAGAAUACUUAACGUGUCAUUGUGACCAUGAAGAUGUACAGAAACACACACACACAAUUAAAGUCAAGUAUUUCAGAGGAGGUUUAAAAAAAUAAAAUAUGUUCAACAGGAAGAGUCUGUUUAAUGUAGGAUUUAAGCAAGGCUCUUCCAUUUGCAUAGAUCACUUACAGCAGCAGCAAUUCAUUAAAUUCUCCCAUAAAAUCAUGCUAUAUUUUGUCUAAAGUGACAGAUUCCUUGCAGAUCACAGUGCCUUUCUCAUGCUGCUAAUAAGAUAAUCUGUUACAUGAGGCUUACAAAUCCAUUUAAAUUGAUUUUAAUUAAUGAAUCAAUCACUAGCCACUGAUGACUUGGUCUACAGACAGCAAGCAAUUCAAAGCCCCAGGCUUCUAAUCCAAAAGCAAAAUCCACAUUAGAGCAACAGGACAUCUCUCUGAUCGAUGGCAGCACAAAGAUGUUCAGUUCAUACACAUUUAAAGUGUAUGAACUUGAUCAAAAUGUAUCUCCAGAUCUUAUGCAUUACAAUUCCCAAAUUCAGGACUGUUCAACUAGAAAAGCAAUAUUAAAUCAUUUACAUUUCUUUGCAAGGGGAAAAAAUUAAAUCAAGCACAACUAUAACCUGAUUCCAAACUUUAGAUGCUUAUUCCACUUGAGGGUUUCUCCCUUUGUUCUUCUUCCCCGAGUUAAACAAUCUGUUGUUUAACAUUAAUUAACAGAAAAUUGCACUUCUUAUGAUCACAACCACGAACAAUUCUUUUUACAUUUGCUUUGGUGCUGUGAAAAGCCACUGCUGUUCUCCACUGCUCAAGUGCUUACAGUUUCCCUCAAACAGAAAACAGGAAAGAAGUGAGAUUUCUGUCCCAAAAUCAGCAAGCAGAAGCAGCGGGAAGAACAUCCUUGUUAUUGUAGUAAGUUAAUUAUUAUAAUUAUUGUUAUUACAAGGAGUUAAUUACGAUGCAGCAAGCUAAACCCGCAGUGGGCGGUGUGGUGCCCAGCACCGCAAUCCCCGGAGCACCAGCAUCAGGCUCCACGGCACGGGGACACACCUGAGGGACGGAGCCUUCCCAAACAGCCCCUGCGACUCCAGCAGCCCGGGAAGCAGCCCAGGGAAAGGAAGGAACGGUGCAUGCCUCCCCAGGAUCCUCCCGCAGGCAUGCAAGCAUCUCCCAGAGCAGCGUGGCAGAGGAGGAAGGGGAGACAGGCCAGCUUGCCCCCCAAAGGCUCAUGCUCCUGCAGCUCCAGUGAGCUUGCUAAGGCUGCGGGGCACUGCCCAGCCCCAUGCCCACCUCUCUGCGUGGCUGGGCUGGGGCUGCCCCCGCUCCUCAGCCCCACAGCAAACCCUGCCCCCAGAAGCAGAGCAGGAGGCACCUGGAGAUCACUCCAAACUCCCUGGAGCAGAGGAGCUGCUGCUGGGAAUUGCAGUCACGGAGCAGUUACACUGGCUUUGAGUUCUUCGAACGCUCUCUGCGCCACUGGCAUCCCUUUGAAUAUUCUGAGAGGAAUCCUGAUCCCUCAAAUUCGACAAAGCAGCUUGCUCGGAUGCUCACUGUCAUGCCAAAAAUCCCAGUUCUGCCUGUUUAAAAGAAGAGCUCUGCAUCUGUUUUUAACCAAUUCUGCAUAUACAGCUUAACUAACCCUGUCAAAAGUAGACUUUCUUUUUUUAAUGUAGUACCUACAAAUCUCUUGCUCUCAAUACUCUUUAUUCUUCCUGGUUUGUUAAAAGAAAAUGAUAUUUUGGGGGGGGAAGAAUAAAAAGAAUAAUUAAAGAAGGUGGGUUUGGCCCUUAUGUGCUGCUAAUUAAUUAGAGUUAAAUUAACCAAAUAAUAAGUACAAGAUACCAAACUAUCUUUCAUAAUAUUUAAGAAAAGCAUAAAAGGUUGAGCACUUUCCAGGUGUAAAUACAUUAAGAUCAACGUUGUACCAAGCCUGAAUCUGGUCCCAUUAGCUCCAAAAGGUAAAUAGUUCAUCCCCUUGCACAGAUGUCAGAGCAUACAGGCACUCCAAGUUUAAAGGACAUUUUCUGCAGCCAACAAUGCUGCACUGACACAGAGACAAUCAAUGUGUCCUUGAUUAUGAGGAGGCAAACAGUUUUCACUGAAAAAAAAAAAAAGAAAAGGAAAAAAAAAGAGAGAGAGACUGAAAACAAAUCAUGUGUUUUUAUUUUAUAGGUUCCAAGUUGGGGUUGGGUUUUCUUCAAGCCCUUUUGGAGCGCUGAAACAGAAUAAAAAUAGCUUGUUGCACAAGCAUAAAACAAAGUAACUGCUAAAUAAACAUUUUAAAUUUACUCCUAUGCGCUCAGUUCUCACUCCCAUUAGUCUUCAGGAGCUGGAUGAUUUCACAAAAAUAUCUUCCUGUUUUCUGGAAAACUGAUUAGAUGGGCUUUGUCCAAGAAUUGUCCCAUAAUGUGUUCCCUUUAUUUCACAUGCUGACUGUGACUGCUGGAAAAUGCACUGCAGCACAGAACGCAGUAUAUGCCAGUGCAUCCUGACAUUCAAAUCAAGACCACAAAUUAUAAACAGUUUCAGCAAAUUGACUCGAGUGCCUUUGUUCCUCAGACAUACAUCUUCCUAUUGCUUACAAAAGCAGCAUAUACUAACCACGAGCGCUGCUAUAGCCAGGGCUGGGAAAGGAAGUUAUUGAAGCCUGGAUUUCCUGCUUUCAGCCCAAGCCAAGAACUGCGAGGCUUGUAGUGGUUUCAGGAACUGACUCAUCUAAUGAUUCAUGGAUAAGAUACUGGUUUUAAUAUAUUUCUGAUCAUAAGACUCAAACUUCAAAAACAGUGAUGCUUAGUUUUUAUUUUAAAGUAAAAAAAAAGAAAGAGGUUCAUAAAUCGAACAAACAAAUAUUGUCAUGGGACAAAUGAGCUAAUAAUUAUUAAUGUGUUUUACAGCGAACUCUGUUUUUAAAAAAUGGUGUGUUAAACAUCCUGGAAAUUCAUUUCAAGAGAAUGCUGACAAUUGAAUUAAAAAUCCACUGUCAAAAACUUGAGUGCUUUCACUGCAGUCCUGACAGAGCUGAAGUCCAAGUGGAGAGCAGCUGGGAUAUCAGUGCAUUGUUAGAGAUACCCUUAGGUACAGGUAUGGCUGCUACACCCUAGCCAAUGAAUCCUGGAGCUGCCAUUGUCAAUGCACCCGGUGGCUCUAGCCGUGGACAGAAAGAAUCACCAGAGACUGGCUGCUAACAAACAGUCAGGGCAGUUUUGUUUCAAGAGUGACUCAAACUGCCGAGGUCAAUCCUAAAGCAAUGACUAACACGGUGCUCUCUCUCUCACACACACACCCCCCCGCAUUUUGUGCUAAUUCAGAAUUCAAGCCCAGCCGUUUUUAUGCACCGAGCUCUUCCAGAGGAAAGCACGCCUUCCAGAGCAUCAAAACCCUUUUUGCCCACAACACAAAUCUCAUCAGUAUGCUGUAACUUGAACUGCCAGGCUCCUGCACCUAAAAAAUAGCUGGUGAUGGAAGCUGAAUUCUGCCAGGCUCAUGUAUGGAAAAGUACUGGUUUACUUUUUAAUUUCUGAACGGCGAGCUGCAGCCGCUCGCGCCCUCGUGCAGCACGGUGGGGACGCAGGGGGACGCUGGCAUUUCUGUACCUCACCCCCGCGCGCAGCUAGCAAGGGGGGGAAGAGAAAGAAAGCAAAAUGCAUCUUGCUCAGAGGAAAAUAAAAAAGAAAAGCAAAGAAAAAAGCAGCAGUUAAAACACUUGACAAGAAAAGGCCAAAGUGCGCUCCGUGGCUGGCAGUCAUUUUAUGGCUGUAGUCCUACAGCAGAUUUACUUAGAUGACGUCAGUGGCUCCAAUCCAGCUUUUCUUUGGUAGCAUUUACCACUUGCCUCUUGAAGCCUCCACUAUGCUACAGAGCAGUAGACCAUAAUCAAAAUUCCCUUUGUGAAAUAGAGUUUACCUCAGGGCACAGAGGCAUUGCAAGCUGAAUUGCAGGCUCUUCACCCUGUACUGCAUGCCCAGAAAUAAAUAACCUACAAUACUGUGCUCUCCUUAAUACAGAAGAACCAUUAAAAGCAGCCUGCUACCUAAAAAAGGGUUCUUUAAUUUGUUUCCAAAAUCUCAGAAGCCAGAAUAUUAGUUAAUUUUCCAAGCAACCAAGAACCGUAAUAAUUCUAGUACCCUUUGGACUUCUUCAUAUUGUUUUUAGAGAUUUUGGAUGAUGAAGUUAUUUACGGGUCACUGUUUCACCAGUAAAAAAUUAUUACUAAUGCUAGGGGCUAAAGCAAAUCUGUAUAGGAAGCUGCAUAUUUACAAGUGUCUUCCAAAUGCCCCCCUUCAACUGCUUAUCUACAGCUGCUCAGUAAGCAUACAGCAAAUAUGCCAAGAAGCAGAGCAAGAAAUUACUGUGCAUAAGUAAUAGUCAAUUUAAUGAUCAAAAUGCGCAUUAUUUGGAGCUGUGCAUUUCCUAUCACAAAGCAGUGGCUGAAACCAGUGGAACACCAGUGAAGCCAAGUUGAGGAGAUACCAAGUAAACCAGAACUUCACAGGCUCUGGAGUUUAAUCAAAAUGACCCCCACAAAGAUGUGUCCUGUGGUACUGAAUAAACAUGGAUUUGUUAUGUUUUAAGGGAGCCAGCAAUCCAAAGACAGCCAUACCCAUCAUGGGUGUAACUAGAUACAUUAGUGAACUGAAAACUGCCUCUCACAGUCAGGCACUUAGAAACAACUCACAGGGAAGAUGCACAUGCGCCUCAGAGAGCUGAAAGGCUCAAGAGCCCUCCUUUCCCAGGGUCUCUGCUUCCCUUGCCCCUAAUCACACCAGGAUGAGAGAUCACAGCUCUGACCUGCAAUGGGCCAGAAGCCAAAAAGCGCUGCUGUCACCAAACUGCACGAGUCACACCAGGGACCUCAACUCUAAAUCUGAAUUCAAAACAGAUUUAAAAUGCGGGGGCAACCCCCAAACCAGCUGGAAGUGGAUGGACACACACAUUUCAUGUCCCUGCAGAGAAACCAGAAGCCCUCUAGCAGCCUCAGAUGCCAAGCCAAGGGCAGGGGAGCCUUUCUGCAGGUGCCAGCAUCAGCUGAGGCAGAGCAGCAAGGGGGGAGCAUCACCUCUCGUUUCACUGCCCACCCCGUUGGCCCCCGGGUGCUUUGUCAGCUCCUGCCUUCCUCCAGGCAGUUCAUCUGGGUGGACUUCAGUGGAAAGGCAGAGCGGCCACCGCUCAAAUUGUUCACAUUUCUCUGCUUCGAAUGCAGAAGAAUUUACUUCUCUUUGCUAAAAAAAAAAGUGUUGUCAGCAAACAGCUUCAGAAGAUGACUGCAGAUUUCUCUGAGAGAGAAUCUAAGUCCUUUCCUUGGUCAUUAAGGACUUGGACAUGAAAGGCAUGGCCAGCACAAGUGGCCCUUUCUUUCCAAUCUCCAGGGCAAGGAAGGGCUGGGAGCAGCAGGAAAGGGACCCCACAGUGGCACCCCGUCCAUGAGCAGCAGCAGAGGACACGGGAAGGAGCACCUGGCCAGCCGGACUGCAGAGGGAGAGAAACAAAAAAACCACAGGGAUCCAAGGGCAGGAGAGCUCAACCAAGAGCAAGGAUGUGUUCCCAAGGAGCGAGGAGGGUCCCGGCGGCCAGGGACAGCCGCGGUGCCUGCAAGGCACAGCCAGCCCCAGCCUGUGGGGCAGGAGACACAGGAAUGCGCUGCAAGGUCACGGAGCAGCACAGGCACAUCCAGCCCUAAGGACACCACAGAGGCACUGAAUGGAAGACUGUAUUUAUGGCUGGAAACUCCUCCUGCUACAAAAUAAUUACUCCUAAAGAAAGGCAGGGCUAGGGGGAAGAUGAAGGAACUUCCAGUGACUCUUCCAGUCUUCUUGUCUUUCAGUUGAUCGUGGAAAAAGCAGGGGGGACGAAAAUCUUCAAAGAUCAGCUGACAGCAGAUGUAGGGACAUGACUGUUUUUAAAGGUUUUUUUUUUUUUUUUUUUUUGAAAGAAUGAAGGUAAAACCAGGGAUGUGGAAACUGUUUACAGAGUUUUGCUUUUUUAUUUUAAGCUGUAAACCACCUUUAGAACAAAAAAAAAAAGUUUGCACUGAUAUUUCCCUUUUCCCCAUGAACUAUGGUACCAGAUUACCAUAUUUUUUAAUUGAUAAACACAUAGCAGAAGCUUUAAUCCCCUAAACCUCUACGAAUUUACCUUUUCUUCCAAAGUCUGUUCUGACAUUUUCUCCCCUCAAAACCAAAAUGUCAUUCCUGAAUUAUAAUCUCCCAACAGAAAGACAGCCAUGUAAAAAGAAAAAAAAACAACCAUGCCAACUAAUUCCAAAAAAAAAAAAAACCACUGCUGUUCGCAGCACCAUGAGGUGAAUGCCUGGUGAGAGAUUCCACCAAGGGAAUAAUUGUGAUGUCUAUAAUGUUAAGGAAUAAUUCAGCACCAAAAGUACCCAAGGCCAUGCUGGUUGGCGAUUCAAACACGAAGCAUAUCAAAACACUACUGAUAAGCUAAAUUAACAGAUAGCUUAUCUGAAGCAUAUACUGGCCAUAUGGUGCCACAACUUCUGUUGCCUGUUGCUGGCAUAACAAUAGGCUACUGCAGUCUUAGACUGGAAGCACUAUUUGACAAACUGUCAACAGCAUUUUUAUUUUUUCUGCAGAGCUCUAGGGCAAUGGCACACUCGCCUAUUUGCAUUUUUUUUUAAACAGGUGAACAAAGAGUAAACCAGAUGUCGACUUUAGAAAUCGAGCUGUCUGGAUCAGGAGAUUUAACAGAGGCAGGCAUACUGCUACAGCUCAAAUCUAGACAAUGAGCUUUUCUAAAAACACUCUGGCCUAGGGGAGUGGCUAUUUAAAACACUUGGCUUCUUUUAUUUCAGCACUAUGGAAGUGAAUUCUACUCUUAAGUGCCAGCCCAAAUGAAGUCAUUUUGUUUCACUGGGGCUUUCUUUGCAUUUCAGAAAUGUAGCAUGUACUGUAGUAACGGAAAAGACCAAAAAAUGGUGGGGAGUGUGUGAUGUGGAAACCAGCAAUUCGAUCACAUUAAAAAAAAAAAAAUACAACUUUGAAAGGACAACUAAAGUGCAACUUACAUGAAAUUUACUUUUCCUUCUCAAACAAAAAAACCCCAAAAAAACCCCAAAAAAACCCCCAAACAAAUCAACACAACCAAAACAAAACUAACAACAAAAAAUAAAACCCAAACCACUUCUGGGUGCUUUAGAAAAACCUGAUAUUUACAGCCCCCUCCAGUUCCACAAAGACAAGCAAAACUGCAAGGGGACCUGAAUAUGUUACAGAAACACAUUAAUACCAAAAGUAUCGUGAAAGUUGUCUUCCUGCUUCAUUAAAAAAAAAAUAAAUCUUACUAUCUGAGGAGAAAUAAUGCUUUCAUAACAACACAGUGAUCUACUCAAUCAUUACAAAAAUUGACAAAAUAAAAACUACUGUCAAUCAAUACAUAGUAGGUCUGUCUAUGAUAUUCAAUUAUGAAAAUGUGCUUUUAGCUGUGUACUGUAUGAGUGUGAAAGACAUAAUGAGAAAAAUAGAUAACUUUCUGUUCUAAUAAUCUGUUCUGCUUUGAUAGGCACUUAUGGGAACAUAUUUAUUUUCUGACUUAUACCCAGCAAAGUAUGUAGCAUUUUUAGACUAUCUUUUCAAAUUGUUCUUGAACAUUCUCAGUU